GGAUAAUACCGACGUUCAUGCUNGAAAGCGUGGGUAGCAAACAGGAUUAGAUACCCUGGUAGUNCACGCCCUAAACGAUGUCAAUUAGCUGUUGGGGCACUUGAUGCCUUAGUAGCGAAGCUAACGCGUGAAAUUGACCGCCUGGGGAGUACGGUCGCAAGAUUAAAACUCAAAGGAAUUGACGGGGACCCGCACAAGCGGUGGAUGAUGUGGAUUAAUUCGAUGCAACGCGAAGAACCUUACCUGGUCUUGACAUGUACGGAAUCUUCCAGAGACGGAAGAGUGCCUUCGGGAGCCGUAACACAGGUGCUGCAUGGCUGUCGUCAGCUCGUGUCGUGAGAUGUUGGGUUAAGUCCCGCAACGAGCGCAACCCUUGUCAUUAGUUGCCAUCAUUUAGUUGGGCACUCUAAUGAGACUGCCGGUGACAAACCGGAGGAAGGUGGGGAUGACGUCAAGUCCUCAUGGCCCUUAUGACCAGGGCUUCACACGUCAUACAAUGGUCGGUACAGAGGGUAGCCAAGCCGCGAGGUGGAGCCAAUCUCAGAAAACCGAUCGUAGUCCGGAUUGCACUCUGCAACUCGAGUGCAUGAAGUCGGAAUCGCUAGUAAUCGCAGGUCAGCAUACUGCGGUGAAUACGUUCCCGGGUCUUGUACACACCGCCCGUCACACCAUGGGAGUGGGGGAUACCAGAAGUA
rnacentral:rRNA from 1 species